rnacentral:rRNA from 1 species
GACAGAGGGUGCAAACGUUGUUCGGAAUUACUGGGCGUAAAGCGCGUGUAGGCUGCUUGGAAAGUCGGAUGUGAAAGCCCUGGGCUCAACCUAGGAAGUGCAUUCGAAACUUCUGAGCUUGAGUAUCGGAGAGGAAGGCGGAAUUCUCGGUGUAGAGGUGAAAUUCGUAGAUAUCGAGAGGAACACCGGUGGCGAAGGCGGCCUUCCGGACGAUUACUGACGCUGAGACGCGAAAGCGUGGGGAGCAAACAGG